CCGUUUGUGAGAGAAAACCUGGUAUCUGGCUUCUGACGUUUCAGUACAAUCUUCUAUUGUGCAUCUGGAUGACAUCACUGUUGUGUCCUUUGCAGAGAUGUGCAUACAGGGCCCUAACUCUCCAGGAGCUGCUACGGACAGAGCCCGGUAAUCCCAACGACUUAGUGGAUCCUGUGCCUCCCAAGGCUGGAGCCCACGGUGACUGCACACUUGUCACAGACUGGCAGGCCAUUUGUCUGCUGCAGCCCACCAAAUCCCACAGAUCUUUCUGGAUCCUUUGCAGCAGGCUUUUCAUACCUUGAGUCUUUCUUAAUGCUCACAUGAAAAAGCAACUGCUGUUUGCUGUGCUCGUAAAAGUCUUGCUAGAAAUUAACACCUUGUGUGAAUAAAAACAUCAAGUAAGUA
rnacentral:lncRNA from 1 species